rnacentral:rRNA from 1 species
UGAAUAAACCUGCAGGCUGUUUUGCUGGUCCUCUGCCAGAGGGCAUGUGCACGCUUGUCAUCUUUAUUUCUUCCACUGUGCAUGUAUUGUAGACCUUGGUAGUUUUGGGAAUUGUUCGAGUAGAAUCGAAUAGAUUGAGGACUGCUGUGCUUCAGCUUUACCUUGUAUUUCCAGGUCUAUGUUAUUUUAUCAUUAAAACCCUAUGUUUGAGAAUGUUGAAAUUGGGUCUUUUGUACCUAUAAAGUUAAAUAUACAACUUUCAGCAACGGAUCUCUUGGCUCUCGCAUCGAUGAAGAACGCAGCGAAAUGCGAUAAGUAAUGUGAAUUGCAGAAUUCAGUGAAUCAUCGAAUCUUUGAACGCAUCUUGCGCUCCUUGGUAUUCCGAGGAGCAUGCCUGUUUGAGUGUCAUUAAGCUCUCAACUGCACUAGUUUUGUCUAGCUGUAGCUUGGAUGUGGGGGUUUUGUCUUUUGCAGGCUUUGGAUAAUGAAGUCGGCUCCCCUGAAAUGUAUUAGUGGUCUCUGAGCAGAGAAAAUGGUGUGAUAAAUUAUCUAUGCCUUAGUACUUUGCAUGAACAGAUUG